CUACGUGCCAGCAGCCGCGGUAAUACGUAUGUCGCGAGCGUUAUCCGGAAUUAUUGGGCAUAAAGGGCAUCUAGGCGGCCUUUCAAGUCAGGGGUGAAAACCUGCGGCUCAACCGCAGGCCUGCCUUUGAAACUGAUAGGCUGGAGUACCGGAGAGGUGGACGGAACUGCACGAGUAGAGGUGAAAUUCGUAGAUAUGUGCAGGAAUGCCGAUGAUGAAGAUAGUUCACUGGACGGUAACUGACGCUGAAGUGCGAAAGCCGGGGGAGCAAACAGGAUUAGAUACCCUGGUAGUCCCGGCCGUAAACGAUGAUUACUGGGUGUGGGCAGGAAGACUGUCUGUGCCGAAGCGAAUGCGAUAAGUAAUCCGCCUGGGGAGUACGGCCGCAAGGCUGAAACUCAAAGGAAUUGACGGGGACCCGCACAAGCGGUGGAGCAUGUGGUUUAAUUCGACGCAACGCGAGGAACCUUACCAGAUCUUGACAUCCCG
rnacentral:rRNA from 1 species